rnacentral:rRNA from 1 species
AAUGAACGCUGGCGGCGCGCCUAAUACAUGCAAGUCGAGCGAGAAGACGUAGCAAUACGUUUGUAAAGCGGCGAACGGGUGAGGAAUACAUGGGUAACCUACCCUUGAGUGGGGAAUAACUAGCUGAAAGGUUAGCUAAUACCGCGUACGCUUCCUGGACUUCGGUUCAGGGAGGAAAGCGAUGCCGAGGGUAUCGCGCUCUUGGAUGGGCUCAUGUCCUAUCAGCUUGNGGUGAGGUAACGGCUCACCAAGGCUUCGACGGGUAGCUGGUCUGAGAGGACGAUCAGCCACACUGGCACUGCGACACGGGCCAGACUCCUACGGGAGGCAGCAGCAAGGAAUAUUGCGCAAUGGGCGAAAGCCUGACGCAGCGACGCCGCGGUGGGGGA